UACGUAGGGGGCUAGCGUUGUCCGGAAUCAUUGGGCGUAAAGAGCGUGUAGGCUGCUCGGUAAGUCCGCUGUAAAAGUCAAAGGCUCAACCUUUGAAUGUCAGUGGAUACUGCCGGGCUAGAGUCCGGAAGAGGCGAGUGGAACUCCUGGUGUAGCGGUGGAAUGCGUAGAGAGUCGGGAAGAACACCCGUGGCGAAGGCGGCGUGCUGGGUUGCAACUGACGCUGAGAG
rnacentral:rRNA from 1 species